rnacentral:rRNA from 1 species
AAGUCGAGGGGCAGCACAGGUAGCAAUACCGGGUGGCGACCGGCGCACGGGUGAGUAACGCGUAUGCAACUUGCCUAUCAGAGGGGGAUAACCCGGCGAAAGUCGGACUAAUACCGCAUGAAGCAGGGGCCCCGCAUGGGGAUAUUUGCUAAAGAUUCAUCGCUGAUAGAUAGGCAUGCGUUCCAUUAGGCAGUUGGCGGGGUAACGGCCCACCAAACCGACGAUGGAUAGGGGUUCUGAGAGGAAGGUCCCCCACAUUGGUACUGAGACACGGACCAAACUCCUACGGGAGGCAGCAGUGAGGAAUAUUGGUCAAUGGCCGAGAGGCUGAACCAGCCAAGUCGCGUGAGGGAUGAAGGUUCUAUGGAUCGUAAACCUCUUUUAUAAGGGAAUAAAGUGCGGGACGUGUCCCGUUUUGUAUGUACCUUAUGAAUAAGGAUCGGCUAACUCCGUGCCAGCAGCCGCGGUAAUACGGAGGAUCCGAGCGUUAUCCGGAUUUAUUGGGUUUAAAGGGUGCGUAGGCGGCCUUUUAAGUCAGCGGUGAAAGUCUGUGGCUCAACCAUAGAAUUGCCGUUGAAACUGGGGGGCUUGAGUAUGUUUGAGGCAGGCGGAAUGCGUGGUGUAGCGGUGAAAUGCAUAGAUAUCACGCAGAACCCCGAUUGCGAAGGCAGCCUGCCAAGCCAUUACUGACGCUGAUGCACGAAAGCGUGGGGAUCAAACAGGAUUAGAUACCCUGGUAGUCCACGCAGUAAACGAUGAUCACUAGCUGUUUGCGAUACACUGUAAGCGGCACAGCGAAAGCGUUAAGUGAUCCACCUGGGGAGUACGCCGGCAACGGUGAAACUCAAAGGAAUUGACGGGGGCCCGCACAAGCGGAGGAACAUGUGGUUUAAUUCGAUGAUACGCGAGGAACCUUACCCGGGUUUGAACGCAUUCGGACCGAGGUGGAAACACCUUUUCUAGCAAUAGCCGUUUGCGAGGUGCUGCAUGGUUGUCGUCAGCUCGUGCCGUGAGGUGUCGGCUUAAGUGCCAUAACGAGCGCAACCCUUGCCACUAGUUACUAACAGGUAAAGCUGAGGACUCUGGUGGGACUGCCAGCGUAAGCUGCGAGGAAGGCGGGGAUGACGUCAAAUCAGCACGGCCCUUACAUCCGGGGCGACACACGUGUUACAAUGGCGUGGACAAAGGGAGGCCACCUGGCGACAGGGAGCGAAUCCCCAAACCACGUCUCAGUUCGGAUCGGAGUCUGCAACCCGACUCCGUGAAGCUGGAUUCGCUAGUAAUCGCGCAUCAGCCAUGGCGCGGUGAAUACGUUCCCGGGCCUUGUACACACCGCCCGUCAAGCCAUGGGAGCCGGGGGUACCUGAAGUCCGUAACC